AUUGAACGCUGGCGGCAGGCCUAACACAUGCAAGUCGAACGAGUGGCGGACGGGUGAGAAAUGUCUGGGAAACUGCCUGAUGGAGGGGGAUAACUACUGGAAACGGUAGCUAAUACCGCAUACCAUCAGAUGUGCCUAGAUGGGAUUAGGUUGUUGGUGGGGUAACGGCACACCAAGGCAACGAUCCCUAGCUGGUCUGAGAGGAUGACCAGCCACACUGGAACUGAACCACGGGCCGGACUCCUACGGGAGGCAGCGGAGGGGAAUAUUGCACAAGGGGCGCAAGCCUAAUGGAGCCAUGCCGCGGGGAUGAAGAAGGCCUUCGGGUUGUAAAGUACUUUCAUCGGGGAGGCGUUACCCGCAGAAGAAGCACCGGCUAACUCCGUGCCAGCCGCCGCGGUAAUUC
rnacentral:rRNA from 1 species